rnacentral:rRNA from 1 species
CGUACCCCAAACCGACACAGGUGGUCAGGUAGAGAAUACCAAGGCGCUUGAGAGAACGAUGCUGAAGGAACUCGGCAAAUUACUCCCGUAAGUUCGCGAGAAGGGAGCCUGGCAUUGGGCAACCAGUGUCCAGGGGCACAGACCAGGGGGUGGCGACUGUUUAUUAAAAACACAGGGCUCUGCGAAGUCGCAAGACGACGUAUAGGGUCUGACGCCUGCCCGGUGCCGGAAGGUUAAAAGGAGAUGUGAGAG